GAUGAACGCUGACAGAAUGCUUAACACAUGCAAGUCUACUUGAAUUUGGGUUUUUUCACUUAGAUUUGGGUGGCGGACGGGUGAGUAACGCGUAAAGAACUUGCCUCACAGCUAGGGACAACAUUUGGAAACGAAUGCUAAUACCUGAUAUUAUGAUUAUAAGGCAUCUUAGAAUUAUGAAAGCUAUAUGCGCUGUGAGAGAGCUUUGCGUCCCAUUAGCUAGUUGGAGAGGUAACGGCUCACCAAGGCGAUGAUGGGUAGCCGGCCUGAGAGGGUGAACGGCCACAAGGGGACUGAGACACGGCCCUUACUCCUACGGGAGGCAGCAGUGGGGAAUAUUGGACAAUGGACCAAGAGUCUGAUCCAGCAAUUCUGUGUGCACGAUGACGUUUUUCGGAAUGUAAAGUGCUUUCAGUUGGGAAGAAAAAAAUGACGGUACCAACAGAAGAAGUGACGGCUAAAUACGUG
rnacentral:rRNA from 1 species